AUUCCUUCUUGAUGGCCCCAGUACCCUCGGGGUCCAGGACCUUGAAGGCGGUAACAAUAACGUCCUCGGGGUCAGCACCUGGUGACGACAAGACACAGAGUCUGUUCCGCACUACAAUACGUUGACGGAGGUCCAGUUCUGCUCGGCCUCGCAGCCGUCAGCCUUAAGAAGACGUCUGAGUGACAGCUGGUGGAGGAGGUCAGAGGUGAACAAAAUGUGGAGGGCUUCAGAUGGUGACAGAAACUUCAGAGCUCCUCCUAAUGACAUUCCCGUGCUUAUUAAAUUGUCAGGGGAGAAGAGGGGGCGCACGCAAAACAGCAACUGCUCUGAAAAUGGAUCCAAGAGCUGCAUAACCAAACUCUAAUUUUGGUCCAAGAAAUUGAACUGAAAUCCCAGCAGGCUCUCUACAUGAUAUAUCCAUCGAUUAACUAAGUAACACUAAUGCUUUCUGACAUGAAUGACGCUCAUACAUUAGAUAAAAUGGGCUCCUGUAGGGAUGGAGUGUCGCUGUGUGGCCGGAAAAAUCUCACCUCUUUGUACUCCUGAAUCUGGCUCUGCUCAAACAUGGAGAACACGUUGGAGGAGCCGCUAUCUCCUGCUGCCUGCCUCCUCUUUGCCUUCUUUGGGGACUGGAGGACAAACACACAAGUGACAUCUUCAAGUAAGUCAGUUACAUUAUUGGCUAAAAGUUACAGUGAUGCUACUAAGUUAGUGGUUCCCAACCCUUUUGACUUGUGACCCCUUAAGAUUAAGCGAUGUAAACCCG